rnacentral:misc_RNA from 1 species
AGCGCGGUCUACACCAACAGCACGAGCCAGGGCUCGAAGGUGGUCCUGACCGGUUCGGGUUCGAUGGACACCGAUUUCAUGAAGAUGGUGGGCCUUCCCAAGCUCGAUUUCGGCGCGAGUUCGACCACGGUCUGGGGCACCACCAAACUGCGCGUCGCACUGGCGCUCGACAACACGGGAUCGAUGGCAAGUUCGGGCAAGAUGGACGCCCUGAAAACAUCCGCCAAGAGCCUGAU